UUUCCGUAGGUGAACCUGCGGAAGGAUCAUUAACUACAAGUGUUUUGUAGCACUAUUUAAACGACCCAUAUUCGCCUUGUGUGUAAGGUUUGGAGACCCUCAAUGUCGGCACCUUCUGGGGUGAUGGGAAAGAGCGAACCACUAUAAUUUACCAACAUCACUUUCAACUAAUUUGUCUGUAAAUUUGUUAUCAGUAAUUAAAAUAAAUAGAAAAUACAACUUUCAACAACGGAUCUCUUGGUUCUC
rnacentral:misc_RNA from 1 species